GGCCUAUCCGUUGCUAUGACGCUACGUACACUACCCCAAUGGGCUCGCGCGCGAUCUCCCCCUCCUCUCCUCCACUUCUCCAUUGCCUCCUUCCGCCUCCAUCUUCGGUCCCUAACCUUAAACCUACAGCGAAAAUCAAGAAAUCCCUCUCCCUCCCUGGUCGCCGCUCACUUAUCCUCCUCUCUGCUGCCGGCGCUCUCACUCCUUUUCCGGUCGACGCAUCCAACGCCUUAUCCAGCUCAGAUUCACCUGCGGAUGUCUCCGUUGCUGUUACUGACCGCGUUUUUAUGGACUUUAGCCUCUGCCCUAGCUACUUCAACUCUGACCGCCCUAUUGGUUUCGACCUUGCCGCUUGCCCGGACGCGGAACCCAUUGGUCGCGUAGUUUUUGGGCUAUAUGGCAAGCUUGUUCCCCAGACUGUGGCCAACUUCAAGGCCUUGUGCAACCCUUCUGGCUAUCGUGGAACGCUUAUCCAUAAGAUUUUUCAAGGUCAGUUCUUUGUCGCCGGCCGGCAGGGGAGGAGAGAAAAGGGGGAGGUGCGGCCGCCUGUGGACUUGGCGAGAAAUAUGGAGUCUGUCAAUCCCAAGGCGUUUCAACUGAAGCAUUCUAGGCCGGGGAUACUUUCGCUUUGCUUGGCGCAGAAUGACGAUGACGAGGAAAUCAAGCUCAAUCCGGAUUAUAGGAAUGUUGAGUUCUUGGUGACGACCGGGCCAGGACCAUGCCCAGAGCUUGAUAACGCGAAUAUUGUAUUUGGAACAGUGCUUGAAGGUAUGGAUAUUGUAACUACAAUUGCUACCAUUCCCACAUAUAAACCUGCUGAAAAGAUUCGGCAGUUCAAUGAUUUUGCUGUAUUCCUUGGGGAUGAGAGGGCACAGAUAGCUCGAACAACGUGGGACAGGCCUUUAAGAACAGUCUAUAUCAGUGACUGUGGGGAGCUUCAAGUAGCAAAGCCUUCACUUUCUCCCAGCUUGCCAUAGAACAGUUCAGUUUCUAAUCCAUCAUAUUCUUUCUGGAUAUUUAUCUUGUUCUCUCACAACCUUGGUUUAGAAAGGCUGAAUUGCAACAUGAGGCAUCUUAUCUAUCACAAGAUGGGAUGUUUUUCUGACCUGAAAUCAGCUCUGUACUUGAGCCUGGGAUGGGGGAAGUUCCUAAACAUUUUACAAGCUGGAGUCUUUGGGAGUCAUUCUAAGGUAACAAAUGUCUUGCAAAUGGAAUGUAAUUUGUUUGUAAUUUUAUUGAGUGCAAUGUUCUUUCACCUGAUGGAGCAUUUGGUGAUUUCUGGUAAUCAAACACCCAAUUGUGUUUCUGUUUUAGAAGAUCUUGUUCAUAGUUUCUCUUAGGGUCAUUUAGGAUCAACUUUUUUAUUUGGGCUUUUAGAAAAAAA